rnacentral:rRNA from 1 species
GACGAACGCUGGCGGCGUGCCUAAUACAUGCAAGUCGAGCGGAGUGAUGAAGAAGCUUGCUUCUUCUGAUUUUAGCGGCGGACGGGUGAGUAACACGUGGGCAACCUACCUUGUAGAUUGGGAUAACUUCGGGAAACCGGGGCUAAUACCGAAUAAUCCAUUUCGCUUCAUGGCGGAAUGUUAAAAGGAGGCGCAAGCUGUCAAUGCAAGAUGGGACAGCGGCGCAUUAGUCAGUUGGUAGGGUAACGGCCUACCAAGGCGACGAUGCGUAGCCGACCUGAGAAGGUGAUCGGCCACACUGGGACUGAGACACGGCCCAGACUCCUACGGGAGGCAGCAGUAGGGAAUCUUCCACAAUGGACGAAAGUCUGAUGGAGCAACGCCGCGUGAGUGAAGAAGGUUUUCGGAUCGUAAAACUCUGUUGUAAGGGAAGAACACGUACGAGAGUAACUGCUCGUACCUUGACGGUACCUUAUUAGAGAGCCACGGCUAACUACGUGCCAGCAGCCGCAGUAACAC